rnacentral:misc_RNA from 1 species
CCUAGAGUUGUAGGCUUUGCCUGCUAUCUCUUACCCAUGUCUUUUGAGUACCUUACGUUUCCUCGGCGGGUCCGCCCGCCGAUUGGGACAAUUUAAACCAUUUGCAGUUGCAAUCAGCGUCUGAAAAACUUAAUAGUUA